rnacentral:lncRNA from 1 species
ACUAGAACACCAUUGAAUUGAGCUACAGAACGAAAAUUCGAACAAAUUCAAAACCGUAACCCUAAUAAUUAACACGAUCGAUUCAACUAAACACCGAGAUGUAAUUGAAACGAUUUACGGCACCGAUUUCGAGAUAAACAUGAAUUUUCCACUAAUAAGUGACUAAUAAACACUAGAACACGAUUAGAUUGAGCCACAGAACGAAAAUUCGAACAAAUUCAAAACCAUAACCCUAUCAAUCAACACAAUCGCUUCAACUAAACACCAUAACGUAAUUAAAACAUUAAUUCAAUGGUUUACUAUACGGAUUUCCAGAGAAUACACGACAUUAUCAUUAACAAGUGACUGAAAACCCUAGCACACGAUUGAAUUGAGCUACAGAACGAAAAUUCGAACAGAUCCAACCGUAACCCUAACAAUCAACACGAUCACUUCAACUAAACACCUAGACGUAAUUAGACGUAAUUGCAAUAGUUUACGGUACGGAUUUCGAGAUAAUACACGAGAUAUCCAUUAACGAGUGACUGAAAACCCUAGAACCACUGAAUUGAGCUAAAAAACGAAAAUUCGAACCAAAUUAAGGAUGAAAUUGAUCGAAUCAAAGAUGAAAUUGAUCGAAUCAAAGUAGAAAAAGAAGAAUUUGCCGUCGAAUUUGGUGAAUUUUAACAAAUUCGAGCAAAAACGGUACGGAUUUCGAGAGAAUACAUGAGAUUUCCAUUAACGAGUGACUAAAAACCCUAGAAAGUCUAAAUUGAGCUACAGAUGAAGAUUUUGGACCAAAUUGAGGAUGAAUAU